UUAAGUUCAGCGGGUAUCCCUACCUGAUCCGAGGUCAACCUUUGAUAUGUUUGGGGGUUGUUGGCAAGCACGCACCCGGAACUCCUGAGCGAGAAGAAUUACUACGCUUGAAGCCGAAUGGCACCGCCACUGAUUUUAAGGCGCGCCAGAGCUGGCGGACGCCCAAUACCAAGCAGAGCUUGAGGGUUGUAAUGACGCUC
rnacentral:misc_RNA from 1 species